AUUGAACGCUGGCGGCGUGCUUACACAUGCAAGUCGAACGGUAACAGGCCGCGAGGUGCUGACGAGUGGCGAACGGGUGAGUAAUGCAUCGGAACGUGCCCAGUCGUGGGGGAUAACGCAGCGAAAGCUGCGCUAAUACCGCAUACGAUCUAUGGAUGAAAGCGGGGGACCGUAAGGCCUCGCGCGAUUGGAGCGGCCGAUGUCGGAUUAGGUAGUUGGUGGGGUAAAGGCUCACCAAGCCAACGAUCUGUAGCUGGUCUGAGAGGGCGACCAGCCACACUGAGACUGAGACACGGCCCAGACUCCUACGGGAGGCAGCAGUGGGGAAUUUUGGACAAUGGGGGCAACCCUGAUCCAGCCAUUCCGCGUGAGUGAAGAAGGCCUUCGGGUUGUAAAGCUCUUUCGGCAGGAACGAAACGGCGAGCUCUAACAUAGCUUGCUAAUGACGGUACCUGAAGAAGAAGCACCGGCUAACUACGUGCCAGCCGCCGCCGUAACAC
rnacentral:rRNA from 1 species